AUCCGGGGGUCUGGAGUGCACCAGGAGGGAGGGGUGUCACGUGACAUGGAGGGUGGUGGGGCCAGAUCCGUGGACCUUGUCAGAUGUUUCCGAGCAGCAGGUGGCCUGAUACAGAUUGAAGGACAGAGGGCUGGUUUGCCGACUACACGUGGCAAGAGUGGAAGCAGGGGGCCAAUGGGGCCAUGGCUGCGCCCAGGAAAAGGGGACGCUGGCGGCCUGGCCCAGGGGCUGUGGUGGGCUGGUGCGUGACGUGUUUUAAAGGCCUAGCUCUGAGGGCACCUUGACCAAUUGUCUGUGUGGCAGGAGGUUGGAGGGGUUGGGAGGUUUCUGCAAGGACUCCCAGCCCUUUGACGUGAGCAUCCCAGUGAUGGGACACUAAAGCAUGAAAGAGCAGGACUGAGCGUGGCUAUGGGGUUGAAGGAGGAUCCAUGGGUUCUGCCUUGUUCCCGUCACUGAGGCACCUGGGGUGUUCUCAGGUGGAGGCCUCUAGGAGGAGCGAGGGGCUGAGGAAGCCCGGGCUGGGGACAUUUUUACAUUAGGAAGCCUUUAGCAAAUAGGUUAUAUUUGAAGAGGUGGGAACAGGUGAGGUGUCCAGGGAGAGAGGAUGGCUGAAGGCAGAGCCCUGGAGACUGCCCUUGUUAGGGAGGCCAGGGAGGGACGAGGAGCCAGCCAGGGGACUUAGAAAGGGCCACCACUGAAAUAAGAGAGAAAUCCAGAGAGCUGGGACAAGCGCCUUCUGGUCCCCAAUACAGCUGUGACGCCAAGUGCCCUCCCUCCAGAGCCGAGACGGUCUCUGGCAUGAUACAUUGUGUUUUCCAGGCGUCACCUGCCAGGACAUCUGGCUGGGAGCUGUGUCCUCAUCCCGGAGUGGUGCUCCAAGCCAGUUAAGCCAGCAGUUCUGGGCUUUCCAUGAAAGUGCUGGAAGUGUGUGUUCUGGCAACGCCGUCACUGCUAAGUCAUGCCUGGGAGAACAAGUCCUGGUACUUCCUCCUCAGGCCUGCAGGAAGGCCACGUGCUGGUCUCACCUCCUGCCAAGCGUAGAUGGCAGCUUACACCUUUCACCCACCAUGAAGAGUGAGAAGCGGCAUUGCCCAUGGUGAAGGCUCCCACUCCGGAUGGCGUGCCAGGGUCCGCAGGGGACCAGACUUGCUCUUCUUUCCAGUUCUGAAAUCCUCGAUUCUCCUGGUUAUUUCCUCCAUGAGCCUGCAAGUAUCUGAGGGCAGGGCCCCGGCCCAGAGGAGGACACAGGGAGGUGGAUCCAGGGGACGGAGAAGCAGGAAAUGGAGCUACCAGUUUUUUGACCCUUGCUGUGUGCAGGACACUGAUGGCCGUUCCCCUGGACUCUAUCCUGGCAGGCUCAGGACAACCAGAGGAUGGGCACAUUGCUCUUCCCCCACUCUGCAGAUGAAGACAUGGAAAGAGGAAAGAGGUGGCUUGGCCAAGCUCACAUAGCCAGCCAGUGGUGGAGUACUGAAAUUCCAUGAGCUAAUUCACAUCAAUCAGCACAGUGCCUGGCGCAAAGAAACCACUCAGAAGUUAUGGCCAUGAAAUGCGCCCAUGAAAUGCUGCUCCGUAAAGAUACAGCUGCUGCUGGAGACGAAGACGCUUCGGAGCCUUCCUUGAAUCGGAGGGAGAGACCAAAGGUGAUCACACCCAGUCCACCCCCAGCAAGGACAUGCCUGCUAAUUUGAGAUUAUUUAAGAAGGUUCAGGGUUAAGAUCGAACCUUGCUUAGCAACUAAUUUAUGAAGACAUUGCCAACUCAUUAUGCCAACAAGUUUAAUGGGAUAAUAGAAAAAAUAACCCAGAGAGCAAAAUGAUCCCCCGCAAAGCACUUAAUGUCUACUUGAACCACAAGUCCCUUAAGUGCUCAUUUCCAUAAAAUUCUUAUCUGUUAAUUCAGAAACUCCUAGAGCUGCAUGGAGUUCUUUGCAAGCCCACGAAGGAGGGCUCUUCUAGCAACACGUGGUUGGACUAUCUCGUAGCAAGCCCACGAAGGAGGGCUCUUCCAGCAACACGUGGUUGGACUAUCUCGUACACCCGGACGUGCCUGCCAUUCAACAGAGUGGCAUGUCUUCAAAUGUCUUCCUCGCUGUCUGAGAAUGGAACCUUCCCGCCUGAGCCAAGCGCGCCAGUGACACUGGACUGUGCCUGGCUCUGGGAGGCCCGUGCACACGGGAUGAUGCGGAGAUGCCUCUGCCCAGCAGCGUGACAGUUUCUCAGCAUCCACACCUUGGUGGCAGCCCUGCUUUUGCUGGUUGUUAAUGAGAUGGUUGGUUUGGCCUGUAAGCGAAUUGUACAGCUAACUAAUGUGUCUGUAGCUUGGAAUUAUUUAUUGCCCGUGAUUGCUCUGCCUGGGUUUUCAAUACAUAAUUCAUAUUUU